rnacentral:tRNA from 1 species
GUUCCAGGAUGCGGGCAUCGUAUAAUGGCUAUUACCUCAGCCUCCUAAGCUGAUGAUGCGGGUUCGAUUCCCGCUGCCCGCUCCA